CGUCUGAAAAAUGAUGAUCUGCACAAGGGCUAAAAUAACACCAGCCUGAAUUGUCUCCCUUUGUAUCCCAAUCAGCUGCAACGUCCAACUAUCAACAACAUAUGAAUUUUCGUGUGCUCCGGUAAUGUAAAUAGUUUCAUUUUCACUCAUGACCCUUCAUUGUAGCUGCGCUCGGCUUUGACAUUAAAAUGCAUUUUUAGCAGUCAUUUAAAAAAGGGGGAUACUAGAGGAACAUUCACUCAUUAAUCGAAAACGAACUGACAACGACAUGACUUAAAAAGAAAACAAAACAGAUAAACAGACAAACAAUAAUAUGUACACAAAAAACAACAUGGAAAAGUAUGACUAAGCAACAAUAACCCACAAAAACCAGGGG
rnacentral:lncRNA from 1 species